rnacentral:rRNA from 1 species
UACGAAGGGGGCUAGCGUUGCUCGGAAUUACUGGGCGUAAAGCGCACGUAGGCGGCUCUUUAAGUCGGGGGUGAAAUCCUGGAGCUCAACUCCAGAACUGCCUUCGAUACUGGAGAGCUUGAGUUCGGGAGAGGUGAGUGGAACUGCGAGUGUAGAGGUGAAAUUCGUAGAUAUUCGCAAGAACACCAGUGGCGAAGGCGGCUCGCUGGCCCGAUACUGACGCUGAGGUGCGAAAGCGUGGGGAGCAAACAGG